rnacentral:rRNA from 1 species
UACAGAGGUCCCAAGCGUUGUUCGGAUUCAUUGGGCGUAAAGGGUGCGUAGGCGGCGCGGGAAGUCGGGUGUGAAAUCUCGGAGCUUAACUCCGAAACUGCAUUCGAUACUGCCGUGCUUGAGGACUGGAGAGGAGACUGGAAUUUACGGUGUAGCGGUGAAAUGCGUAGAGAUCCGGAAGAACACCGGUGGCGAAGGCGGCCUGCUGGGCAGUUGCUGACACUGGAGGCGCGACAGCGUGGGGAGCAAACAGG